rnacentral:rRNA from 1 species
GAUUGGUGCUUGCAUCAUGAUUUACAUUUGAGUGAGUGGCGAACUGGUGAGUAACACGUGGGAAACCUGCCCAGAAGCGGGGGAUAACACCUGGAAACAGAUGCUAAUACCGCAUAACAACUUGGACCGCAUGGUCCGAGUUUGAAAGAUGGCUUCGGCUAUCACUUUUGGAUGGUCCCGCGGCGUAUUAGCUAGAUGGUGGGGUAACGGCUCACCAUGGCAAUGAUACGUAGCCGACCUGAGAGGGUAAUCGGCCACAUUGGGACUGAGACACGGCCCAAACUCCUACGGGAGGCAGCAGUAGGGAAUCUUCCACAAUGGACGAAAGUCUGAUGGAGCAACGCCGCGUGAGUGAAGAAGGGUUUCGGCUCGUAAAACUCUGUUGUUAAAGAAGAACAUAUCUGAGAGUAACUGUUCAGGUAUUGACGGUAUUUAACCAGAAAGCCACGGCUAACUACGUGCCAGCAGCCGCGGUAAUACGUAGGUGGCAAGCGUUGUCCGGAUUUAUUGGGCGUAAAGCGAGCGCAGGCGGUUUUUUAAGUCUGAUGUGAAAGCCUUCGGCUCAACCGAAGAAGUGCAUCGGAAACUGGGAAACUUGAGUGCAGAAGAGGACAGUGGAACUCCAUGUGUAGCGGUGAAAUGCGUAGAUAUAUGGAAGAACACCAGUGGCGAAGGCGGCUGUCUGGUCUGUAACUGACGCUGAGGCUCGAAAGUAUGGGUAGCAAACAGGAUUAGAUACCCUGGUAGUCCAUACCGUAGACGAUGAAUGCUAAGUGUUGGAGGGUUUCCGCCCCUUCAGUGCUGCAGCUAACGCAUUAAGCAUUCCGCC